GCUGUGAUUGGGGCCACGCCGCCGGGCCCACCGUCGGCCCCGUCGGCGGUAGGAAACCUAGACAACAGGUCCGAGGGGCCGCCGUGCGCCGGCGGCAGCGACACAUGCGGAAUUGGCGCCAGGACCGGAGCUCCUCCCUUGGGCAGGUUGAGGCAGUGUUCGCACCUGUUCACAGACCGCAAGUAAGCCAUAUGGAGUUUCCUUAAAUGUAU
rnacentral:lncRNA from 1 species